GAUCAUGGCUCAGGAUGAACGCUGGCGGCGUGCUUAACACAUGCAAGUCGAACGGAGUUUUAACGGAAGUUUCGGAUGGAAGUUUAAGAACUUAGUGGCGGACGGGUGAGUAACGCGUGGGUAACCUGCCUCAUACAGGGGGAUAACAGUUAGAAAUGACUGCUAAGACCGCAUAAUAUAGCGAAACCGCAUGAUUUUGCUAUCAAAUAUUUAUAGGUAUGAGAUGGGCCCGCGUCUGAUUAGCUAGUUGGUGGGGUAAAAGCCUACCAAGGCGACGAUCAGUAGCCGGCUUGAGAGAGUGACCGGCCACAUUGGGACUGAGACACGGCCCAAACUCCUACGGGAGGCAGCAGUGGGGAAUAUUGGACAAUGGGGGAAACCCUGAUCCAGCGAACCGCCGCGUGAGUGAAGAAGUAUUUCGGUAUGUAAAGCUCUAUCAGCAGGGAAGAUAAUGACAGUACCUGACUAAGAAGCCCCGGCUAACUACGUGCCAGCAGCCGC
rnacentral:rRNA from 1 species